rnacentral:rRNA from 1 species
CAGCAGCCGCGGGAAUACGAAGGGUGCAAGCGUUACUCGGAAUUACUGGGCGUAAAGCGUGCGUAGGUGGUGGUUUAAGUCCGUUGUGAAAGCCCUGGGCUCAACCUGGGAAUUGCAGUGGAUACUGGGUCACUAGAGUGUGGUAGAGGAUGGUGGAAUUCCCGGUGUAGCGGUGAAAUGCGUAGAGAUCGGGAGGAACAUCAGUGGCGAAGGCGGCCAUCUGGGACAACACUGACGCUGAAGCACGAAAGCGUGGGGAGCAAACAGGAUUAGAUACCCGCGUAGUCCCUGUCUCUUAUAA